rfam:Salmo salar isolate Sally breed double haploid chromosome ssa10, whole genome shotgun sequence.
UGUAUUCACUACUGUAAGUCGCUCUGGAUGAGAGCGUCUGCUAAAUGUAACUAU